UACGGAGGGGGCGAGCGUUGUCCGAAUUUAUUGGGCGUAAAGCGCGUGUAGGCGGAUGGACAAGCCUGAGGUGAAAGGUUGGGGCUCAACCCCAUACAGUGCCUUGGGGACUGUUCGUCUGGAGGCCGGCAGAGGAGAGUGGAAUUCCUGGUGUAGCGGUGGAAUGCGUAGAGAUCAGGAAGAACACCCAUGGCGAAGGCAGCUCUCUGGGCCGGUACUGACGCUGAGACGCGAAAGCGCGGGGAGUGAACGGG
rnacentral:rRNA from 1 species